AACUGUUCUGAACAGGUGAGAAACCGGACUUGGCACUUUUGGAAUUUUGGAACCGUUCAGAGGACGACUCUGGCCUUAUUUGGUAAGAGAGGCCGAGCGACAAAAGACCAUAAGUCCGCUGAUGAGAACUGUUCUAAACUUCGACCAGAAUAAAACUCAUGAACCACGAAGUGAUGUUUUUAUGGAAAUUUCUGAGAGAAUUGAUGGUAUCGGAAGAGGUCACAGUUUCAUCCACAUUAUGAAAUGGUCGGUCGUACCUUUCUCAGGACGAAUCAGUGACGAGACACACACAGGAGGAAGUCACGCAUGUCAAUAAAUUUGCCCAGAAGAAUAUAAAGAAGAUAAAGAGGAAGAUGUAUGCCUAUCUGUGAAGAUGCAACUUCAGAUAAAAACAGUAUAGCAUCUUUAAAACUGUCGAUCGUCACGGCGUGUGAUGUCAAAUCGCACAACCAGUAUUACAUCCUUACUCCAUUAUGUACAUGUACAAUGUACUUGCAAAACACAAUCAUGCACUUUUCGCUGUUCCCAAAUUCCGAAUUUCUUGACAUGAUUAUUAUCAUGGCGAACAAAUACCCCAUUAAUGAGUGUCCUACUAUAGUACAAUAACACGCCAUAACAUGACACCAUUACGAAUUAACAGGGUGUAGAAAUCUUCACGAAUUUUUGAAAAAAUCAAUUGAUGAAUAUCAGAUUCAAGUGCAUGGCACACAUAUUUUUUCUCUCAACACAGUUCCGUGUCAACUAUGAAUUUAAUUCAAACUUACAGGUUCAGGAAGUUCAUUUCUUCUCCGGAAUUUCCAAGACAUCAAAACAAGACCAUGCAGGGAGGACAUGAUAUCAACAAUAGAAACGGUUUCCCACACCUUUUCCCAUAAAAAACCGAAAUAUGUUGCCUUAAUACGAGAAACCGACAUAAAAACUGAGACUCCCAUCAUUGUUGCACUUACCACGGACCUAGGUCCGUGAUUGGUGACAAAAUUCAGUUACCAACCAGCCAUCUAAUUUCGCUUCAAUCAGCGCUAUCAGAAAAGGCAGGAACCAUGUGCAGCCACUUGUAGCAUGCACUACACUAAUCAAAUGAUUUUCGCUAGUUUCUGCGAUGUGGUUUUUGAUAUAGUUUGCGAAUUUCAGGUAAGCCUGUGGUUACGGUCCGUUCUCGUUAAGUCGUGUUUAUUGCAGUUUCAUGAUUUUUUUUAAUGAUCCUGUUUAGAUAAUUCACGGUUUAACUAGAAGUAAAAACCAGCAAUUUGUCCUUUGAUGGGAACUAGGAAUGUAAAAAAGAGUGGCAUCUUCCUCGAAUCAUGGGACAUAAAUGUUGCUUAGAACUUUCGCCGGUAUAACAGUUCUUGAGUACAAGUCGUGUUUCGUCAUGUGAUGUCUAUUCAUGUAUUGAUCCGUUAUUACUCAACACGUUUACAUGUGUUAAUACACGCGCCUCACCUAAA